rnacentral:rRNA from 1 species
GACGUGAGGGGGCCAGCGUUGCUCGGAAUUACUGGGCGUAAAGGGUUCGUAGGCGGUGCGGUAAGUCGGAAGUGAAAUCUCCAGGCUCAACUUGGAGGCUGCUCCCGAAACUGCCGUGCUAGAGUACGGGAGAGGCGAGUGGAAUUGCAGGUGUAGCGGUGAAAUGCGUAGAUAUCUGCAGGAACACCCGUGGCGAAGGCGGCUCGCUGGACCGUAACUGACGCUGAGGAACGAAAGCUAGGGGAGCAAACAGG